rnacentral:tRNA from 1 species
GCGGAUGUAGUUCAGUGGUAGAACACCACCUUGCCAAGGUGGGGGUCGCGAGUUCGAAUCUCGUCAUCCGCU